GGCCACCUCCUCCUUGCUGAGCAGGAGGCAGUUCCAGGGGCUCCAGUCCUUGUGGCGUUCCCACCGGACCAGCGCCAAGCUGUAGGGGUCGCUGCAGGCGCUGAGGGCCGAGCGGGCGCCCCAGAUCACCUCCACCAGGUACUGCAGGUCCUCCACCUGACGCACACGGACGCCUUUUAGGCUGCGGGCGAGAGCGAGUGGGAGAGCGGGGAGGAGGCUGACCUGCAGGAGGAAGGGGAUGGUGUUGUCCUUGUUGAGGACCAGCUCGUUGUCCCGCAGUCUCUUCAGCAUGUUCUUGUAGCAGGAGAAGUCGUCACGGCUCCCGGCGAUGUUUCUCAGUCUGGUGCAGUCCAGACAGCGCCGGCCCAGGUGGGCUUUGGCGCACGAGCGGAACUGGGAGGAGCACAGGUAGCGCUGGCAGCCGUGGCAGAGGAAGACGUCGUUUUUCAGCAUGGAGGGGCUCUUAGGCACCUGAGGAAGGUGCUUGGCCACUUCAGGGUUGAAUCCCGGGGUCCUGAUGAACUGGAGGAAGAGUGUGGAAAGUCUCUUCCUCAGACCCUCCAGGUUGGUCGACUUGACCUGACGUCUCAUCAGGUCUUCCUCCCGGUGCAGCAAUUCCACGAUGUCUCGUGUCAGCUGACACGGGUGCUCCUGCCCAAUGGACCAUUAAGUCUGCUUGAGGCAUAGCAGGAUGUCCAGCCUCUGCUCCUGGCUGAUGGGCGACAUGGCCACACAGUCGUAAAGAUCUCCCAGCUCUCGGGCCCUGAUGGUGUCAGGAGUGUCCAUCUCGAUCAGGCGGCCGUCUGCCGCUCGCCACUGAUGAGGCGUGGACGACUGACGCACGCCACGACACGCACGUCCUUACCAGUCUGCAGGUUGGCAUCGGUGACGUGGGGCGUGUCUUCCUGCUCUGCCACGGUGACGGCGCCGGGAGGCAAGUCGCUGACCUCUGCUACGCUCUUCUCGUCCUCCGCCAUUGUGCCUGAAACACACAUGCAAUGACUUCAUGUUCAUUCAAGACACAACAUCCUCCCGUCGUAAAAUGUCAGAAUAGAAUGAAUGGAUGUGUGAAUAAAUGAAUGUGUGAAUGAAUGAACGGAUGUGUGAAUAAAUGAGUGAAUGGAUGUGAAUGAAUAUGUGAAUGUAUGAAUGAAUGGACGUGUGAAUGAAUGAAUGUGUGAAUAAAUGAAUAUGUGAAUGAAUGUGUGAAUAAAUGAAUGAAUGGAUGUGUGAAUAAAUAAAUGAAUGGAUGUGUGAAUGAAUGAAUAUAAUGUGUGAAUAAAUGAAUGAAAGGACGUGUGAAUGAAUGAAUGGAUGUGUAAAUGAAUGAAUGGAUGUGUGAAUGAAUGUAUGAAAUUAAUGUGUGAAUGAAUGGACGUGUGAAUGAAUGAAUGAAUGGAUGUGUGAAUUAAUAUCUGAAUGAAUGUAUGGAAUGAAUGGACGUGUGACUGAAUGGAUAUGUGAAUAAAUGACUGAUGUGUGAAUAUAUGAAAUUAAUAUGUGAAUGAAUGAAUGGAUACGUGAAUAAAUGACUGAUGUGUGAAUAUAUGAAAUUAAUGUGUGAAUAAAUGAAUGGACGUAUGAAUGAAUGAGUGGAUGUGUGAAUGAAUGGAUGGAUUUAUGAAUGAAUAUGCGAAUGAAUGAAUGUAUGAAAUUAAUGUAUGAAUGAAUGGACGUGUGAAGGAAUGGAUGUGUGAAUAAAUGAAUGAAUGGAUGUGUGAAUUAAUGUGCCAAAUUAAUGAAUGGAUGUAUGAAUGAAUAUGUGAAUGAAUGAAUGUAUGAAAUUAAUGUAUGAAUGAAUGGAUGUGUGAAUAAAUGAAUGAAUGGAUGUAUGAAUGAAAGUGUGAAUGAAUAGACGUGUGAAUGUGCGAAUGAAUGAAUGGAUGUGUGAAUGAAUAUGCGAAUGAAUUAAUGUAUGAAAUGAAUGUUUGAAUAAAUGAGUGGACGUGUGAAUGAAUAUGUGAAUGAAUUAAUGUAUGAAAUGAAUAUGUGAAUGAAGGAAUGCAUGAAGGAAUGAGCCCUAAAACAAUUAAAAAGGCUUUUUGCAAAUGUUGCACUAUGCAGUAGAUUGUACGAUGCCCAUUGGGGCGGUACAGCUCGGUUGGUAGAGUGGCCGUGCCAGCAACUUGAGGGUUCCAGGUUUGAUUCCCGCUUCUGCCAUCCUAGUCCCUGCCGUUGUGUCCUUGGGCAAGACACUUUACCCACCUGCUCCCAAUGCCACCCACACUGGUUUAAAUGUAACUUAGA